rnacentral:piRNA from 1 species
UGUGCACACCUACGAAUGCUUAUCCAUUUC